rnacentral:rRNA from 1 species
UACGUAGGGUGCAAGCGUUAAUCGGAAUUACUGGGCGUAAAGCGUGCGCAGGCGGUUUUGUAAGUCUGACGUGAAAUCCCCGGGCUCAACCUGGGAAUUGCGUUGGAGACUGCAAGGCUAGAAUCUGGCAGAGGGGGGUAGAAUUCCACGUGUAGCAGUGAAAUGCGUAGAGAUGUGGAGGAACACCGAUGGCGAAGGCAGCCCCCUGGGUCAAGAUUGACGCUCAUGCACGAAAGCGUGGGGAGAAAACAGG